AGCAAACUGAUGCCCUGAUUUGUAAUCAGGGGGCCGCGGGUUCGAUCCCUGCAGCCG
rnacentral:tRNA from 1 species